CUCUUUCAACGCAUCUCAAAAUUUGGCGUGCAUGCAGAUCACCUGCAGAGUAUGAUUAUUCAUCUUUACAUUGCCUUGUUUUGAGGGUCUCUGUUGCCCAGGAUGGAGUGCAGUGGCACAGUGACGGCUCAAUACAGCGUUCACCUCCCGGGCAUAGGUGAUUCUUCCACCUCAGCCUCCGGAGUAUCUGGGACUACAGGCGUGCACCACCACGUCCAGCUAAUUUUUGUAUUUUUUGUAGAGACAGGGUCUUACCAUGUUGCCCAAAGUAGUCUGGAACUCCCGGGAUCACGAAAUCCUCCCUCCUUGUCCUCCCAAAGUGCUGGGAUUACAGGUGUGAGCCACCACACCUGGCCUAUUACUGAUAUACAAAUAGUGUUUUGUAUAUUGUUUUCACUUAAUAAUGAACAUUUUUCUGUAUCAGCAAAUAUCCAUCUGCUUCCACUUGAAUAACUGCAUAAUACUCGAUUUAUCUUAUCACAUAUUAAACCAAUAUCCUGU
rnacentral:antisense_RNA from 1 species